CAUCAAGGACCUAGGCUCUGGUUCCACUUUUGCCAACCUGGGAAAAUUUUUCUUAUUCUUAGACUGUUGCCUUGUGGAUGCAAGUCAGAAGAACCAUAGCUUCAAGCAUAAUGUCCACACAUAACCAUGUUCAAGGCAGGAGGAAGGAGCAGGGACGAAAGGGGUGCUCAUGGAAAUAUCUCCUGCCACAGUGUCCUCUUCCAUUUGACUUUGUGUCAGAUCCUGCUGUCGGCUAAGCUUUGGACUCGUGGUUUCAGCUCAGGUCUUGAUCUCAGGUGAGGUUGACCCCACGUGGGGCUCUGCACUCGGUCCCGAGUCUCCUUGACUUUCUCUCUCCCUCUCCUUCUGACCCUCCCCCACUCCCUGCAUGUGCACUCUCUCUCUCUCUGAAAUAAAUAAUCUUAAAAAAAACCCCAGAAAACUGUGUACCAGAAAUCACUAUAUGCAAACGUAUGAGGCAAGCAAUAAACUGGGAAGUCUCCUGGUUUCAUCUGGUGACACGGGAGCAUGGUAUCAAAGAGUAGGGGCAAGAGUCAGUGUUACUGGAGUAUGGGGUCUCCUUAAUACCACAGGCUGAUGAUAUUAUUAUUCCCAUUUAUCAUCAUCAUUAUCAUCAUCAUCAUCAUCAUCAUCAUCUCCAUUUUGUCAAUGACUACAUUAGGAAGUUAUAGUUGCCCCAAAUCAAGUGGGCACUGAAGUGCCCAAAAUCAAGUGUACUGAUUCAUCCAG